UACGGGGGGGGCAAGCGUUGUUCGGAAUUACUGGGCGUAAAGGGCGCGUAGGCGGCCAGACAAAGUCGAGCGUUAAAUUCCAGGGCUUAACCCUGGGCUGUUGCUCGAUACUAGUCGGCUAGAGUGUGGAAGAGGGUGCUGGAAUUCCCGGUGUAGCGGUGAAAUGCGUAGAUAUCAGGAGGAACACCUGCGGUGUAGACGGCUUACUGGACCAUAACUGACGCUGAGGCACGAAAGCGUGGGUAGCAAACAGG
rnacentral:rRNA from 1 species